GUACACGCUGUGACUAGCAUAUCAAUAAGCGGAGGAAAAGAAACUAACAAGGAUUCCCCUAGUAACGGCGAGUGAAGCGGGAAGAGCUCAAAUUUGAAAUCUUAAAGGGUUUCCCUUUACGAAUUGUAGUUUAAAGAAGUGUUUCCUGUUGAGGUUUUGGUAAAAGUUCUUUGGAAUAGGACAUCAUAGAGGGUGAGAAUCCCGUAUUUGACCUUUACUUUCAACUUUGUGAUACACUUUCAAAGAGUCGGAUUGUUUGGGAAUGCAGUCCAAAAUGGGUGGUAAAUUUCAUCUAAAGCUAAAUAUUGGCGAGAGACCGAUAGCGAACAAGUACCGUGAGGGAAGGAUGAAAAGAACUUUGAAAAGAGAGUUAAACAGUACGUGAAAUUGUCAAAAGGGAAGCGUUUGACACCAGUGUUGUUUUUCUGAAAAUCAAUUAAAGAACUGUUUAUGCUAAGUUGUUUAGACUUUAUCAGCUAACUGUUUAGUUUUGAGCUUUUCUUUAAUGCACUUUUCAGUUAACAAGUCAACAUCAAUUUCUUUUGCUGUAAAAAAGCUUGAGGAAGGUGGCUUGAGAUUCGUCUUAAGUGUUUAUAGCCUCUUGCCUAUGCAGUCGGAGAGAUUGAGGUCUGCAGCGUAGAUCCUUCGGGGCUAAAUGCAUUUGUGCUAAGUUAUAGCAUUUUAUAGACAACUUGUUGACUAUGAUUUGUCUUGUAGCUUACUCGCUUAUGUUAUUUUACCUACGCUUAGGAUGUUGACUGAUAUGUAGUCGU
rnacentral:rRNA from 1 species